UAAGCGGAGGAAAAGAAACUAACAAGGAUUCCCCCUAGUAACUGCGAGUGAAGCGGGAAAAGCUCAAAUUUAAAAUCUGGUGGUCUUUGGCCAUCCGAGUUGUAAUUUAGAGAAGCGUCUUCCGCGCUGGACCGUGCACAAGUCUCCUGGAAUGGAGCGUCACAGAGGGUGAGAAUCCCGUCUUUGGCAUGGACAUACCAGGGCUUUUGUGAUGCGCUCUCGAAGAGUCGAGUUGUUUGGGAAUGCAGCUCAAAAUGGGUGGUGAACUCCAUCUAAAGCUAAAUAUUGGCGAGAGACCGAUAGCGAACAAGUACCGUGAGGGAAAGAUGAAAAGCACUUUGGAAAGAGAGUGAAACAGUACGUGAAAUUGUUGAAAGGGAAACGCUUGAAGUCAGUCGCGUCGACCGAGACUCAGCCUCGCCUCGGCUUGGUGUACUUCUCGGCUGACGGGUCAGCAUCAAUUUCGCCUCUUGGAUAAUGGCGAGGGAAAUGUGACACCUUUACGGUGUGUUAUAGUCUCUCGUCGCAUGCAAGGGUCGGGAUUGAGGAACUCAGCACGCGCCUUUGGGUGUCGGGGCUUUGCCCACGAUACGUGCUUAGGAUGUUGGCGUAAUGGCUUUAAACGACC
rnacentral:rRNA from 1 species